UCAAUGCCAAUGUCGUUACUUCAAUCAGAAGCGUCUAACACCCCCCCCCCCCUUUAUUUGGCCUCAACCCUAAGGGGCCAAAUAAAGGGGGGGGGGGCCAAAU
rnacentral:pre_miRNA from 1 species